AUUGAACGCUGGCGGCAGGCCUAACACAUGCAAGUCGAACGGUAACAGGGAUCAGCUUGCUGAUUCGCUGACGAGUGGCGGACGGGUGAGUAAUGUCUGGGAAACUGCCUGAUGGAGGGGGAUAACUACUGGAAACGGUAGCUAAUACCGCAUAACGUCGCAAGACCAAGAGGGGGACCUUCGGGCCUCUUGCCAUCGGAUGUGCCCAGAUGGGAUUAGCUAGUAGGUGGGGUAACGGCUCACCUAGGCGACGAUCCCUAGCUGGUCUGAGAGGAUGACCAGCCACACUGGAACUGAGACACGGUCCAGACUCCUACGGGAGGCAGCAGUGGGGAAUAUUGCACAAUGGGCGCAAGCCUGAUGCAGCCAUGCCGCGUGUAUGAAGAAGGCCUUCGGGUUGUAAAGUACUUUCAGCGGGGAGGAAGGGAGUAAAGUUAAUACCUUUGCUCAUUGACGUUACCCGCAGAAGAAGCACCGGCUAACUCCGUG
rnacentral:rRNA from 1 species